UUAGGAAUAUUGGGCAAUGGAGGAAACUCUGACCCAGCAACGCCGCGUGAAGGAAGAAGGUUUUCGGAUUGUAAACUUCUGAUCUAGGGGAAAAAGAAAGUGAUGGUACCCUAGGAGAAAGCCACGGCUAACUACGUGCCAGCAGCCGCGGUAAUACGUAGGUGGCAAGCGUUGUCCGGAAUGACUGGGCGUAAAGGGAGCGUAGGUUGUUGUUUAAGUUAAAUGUGAAAGCCCGUGGCUCAACUACGGAACUGCAUUUAAUACUGGACAACUAGAGUGCAGGAGGGGUAAGCGGAAUUCCUAGUGUAGCGGUGGAAUGCGUAGAUAUUAGGAAGAACACCAGAGGCGAAGGCGGCUUACUGGACUGUAACUGACACUGAGGCUCGAAAGCGUGGGGAGCAAACAGG
rnacentral:rRNA from 1 species